UACGUAGGGUGCGAGCGUUAAUCGGAAUUACUGGGCGUAAAGCGUGCGCAGGCGGUUGGUUAAGUCUGAUGUGAAAGCCCCGGGCUCAACCUGGGAAUGGCAUUGGAAACUGGUCAGCUGGAGUGUGGCAGAGGGGGGUGGAAUUCCGCGUGUAGCAGUGAAAUGCGUAGAGAUGCGGAGGAACACCGAUGGCGAAGGCAGCCCCCUGGGCCAACACUGACGCUCAGGCGCGAAAGCGUGGGGAGCAAACAGG
rnacentral:rRNA from 1 species